GACGAACGCUGGCGGCGUGCUUAACACAUGCAAGUCGAACGGAAAGGCCCCCAUCUUGGUGGGGGUGCUCGAGUGGCGAACGGGUGAGUAACACGUGGGUGAUCUGCCCUGUACUUCGGGAUAAGCUUGGGAAACUAGGUCUAAUACCGGAUAGGACCAUGGUUUAGUGUCUCAUGGUGGAAAGAUUAUUGUUUUGGUGCAGGAUGAGCUCGCGGCCUAUCAGCUUGUUGGUGGGGUAAUGGCCUACCAAGGCGUCGACGGGUAGCCGGCCUGAGAGGGUGGACGGCCACAUUGGGACUGAGAUACGGCCCAGACUCCUACGGGAGGCAGCAGUGGGGAAUAUUGCGCAAUGGGCGCAAGCCUGAUGCAGCGACGCCGCGUGGGGGAUGACGGCCUUCGGGUUGUAAACUCCUUUCGUUAGGGACGAAGCCGCACUUUUUUUGGGUGUGGUGACGGUACCUUUGUUAAGAAGCACCGGCUAACUACGUG
rnacentral:rRNA from 1 species